GAUGAACGCUGGCGGCGUGCCUAAUACAUGCAAGUCGAACGCUCUGUGGUUCAACUGAUUUGAAGAGCUUGCUCAGAUAUGACGAUGGACAUUGCAAAGAGUGGCGAACGGGUGAGUAACACGUGGGAAACCUACCUCUUAGCAGGGGAUAACAUUUGGAAACAGAUGCUAAUACCGUAUAACAAUGACAACCGCAUGGUUGUUAUUUAAAAGAUGGUUCUGCUAUCACUAAGAGAUGGUCCCGCGGUGCAUUAGCUAGUUGGUAAGGUAAUGGCUUACCAAGGCGAUGAUGCAUAGCCGAGUUGAGAGACUGAUCGGCCACAAUGGGACUGAGACACGGCCCAUACUCCUACGGGAGGCAGCAGUAGGGAAUCUUCCACAAUGGGCGAAAGCCUGAUGGAGCAACGCCGCGUGUGUGAUGAAGGGUUUCGGCUCGUAAAACACUGUUGUAAGAGAAGAAUGACAUUGAGAGUAACUGUUCAAUGUGUGACGGUAUCUUACCAGAGAGGAACGGCUAAAUACGUGCCAGCAGCCGCGGUAAUACGUAUGUUCCAAGCGUUAUCCGGAUUUAUUGGGCGUAAAGCGAGCGCAGACGGUUAUUUAAGUCUGAAGUGAAAGCCCUCAGCUCAACUGAGGAAUUGCUUUGGAAACUGGAUGACUUGAGUGCAGUAGAGGAAAGUGGAACUCCAUGUGUAGCGGUGAAAUGCGUAGAUAUAUGGAAGAACACCAGUGGCGAAGGCGGCUUUCUGGACUGUAACUGACGUUGAGGCUCGAAAGUGUGGGUAGCAAACAGGAUUAGAUACCCUGGUAGUCCACACCGUAAACGAUGAGUGCCAGGUGUUUGAGGGUUUCCGCCCUUAAGUGCCGCAGCUAACGCAUUAAGCACUCCGCCUGGGGAGUACGACCGCAAGGUUGAAACUCAAAGGAAUUGACGGGGACCCGCACAAGCGGUGGAGCAUGUGGUUUAAUUCGAAGCAACGCGAAGAACCUUACCAGGUCUUGACAUCCCUUGACAACUCCAGAGAUGGAGCGUUCCCUUCGGGGACAAGGUGACAGGUGGUGCAUGGUUGUCGUCAGCUCGUGUCGUGAGAUGUUGGGUUAAGUCCCGCAACGAGCGCAACCCUUAUUACUAGUUGCCAGCAUUCAGUUGGGCACUCUAGUGAGACUGCCGGUGACAAACCGGAGGAAGGUGGGGAUGACGUCAAAUCAUCAUGCCCCUUAUGACCUGGGCUACACACGUGCUACAAUGGCGUAUACAACGAGUUGCCAACCUGCGAGGGUGAGCUAAUCUCUUAAAGUACGUCUCAGUUCGGAUUGUAGGCUGCAACUCGCCUACAUGAAGUCGGAAUCGCUAGUAAUCGCGGAUCAGCACGCCGCGGUGAAUACGUUCCCGGGUCU
rnacentral:rRNA from 1 species